UACGUAGGGUGCGAGCGUUUGUCCGGAAUUACUGGGCGUAAAGAGCUUGUAGGUGGUUUGUCGCGUUGUUCGUGAAAUCUCACGGCUCAACUGUGAGCGUGCGGGCGAUACGGGCAGACUAGAGUACUGCAGGGGAGACUGGAAUUCCUGGUGUAGCGGUGAAAUGCGCAGAUAUCAGGAGGAACACCAGUGGCGAAGGCAGGCUCACUGGGCGAUACUGACGCUGAGACGAGAAGCGUGGGGAGCAAACAGG
rnacentral:rRNA from 1 species